GACGAACGCUGGCGGCGUGCCUAAUACAUGCAAGUCGAACGCAGUGGGGACGGGUGAGUAACCCGUGGGUAACCUCCCAUCAGAGGGGAUACCACUUGGAAUCAGGUGCUAAACCUAUAUUGAUGGCUGGACCCGCGGUGCAUUAGCUAGUGGGUGAGGUAACGGCUCACCAAGGCGACGAUGCAUAGCCGACCGGAGAGGAUGAUCGGCCACACUGGGACUGAGACACGGCCCAGACUCCUACGGGAGGCAGCAGUAGGGAAUAUUCGGCAAUGGACGAAAGUCUGACCGAGCAACGCCGCGUGAGUGAAGAAGGUUUUCGGAUCGUAAAACACUGUUGUUAGAGAAGCGGUAUCUAACCAGAAAGCCACGGCUAACUCCGUGCCAGCCGCCGCGGUAAUUC
rnacentral:rRNA from 1 species